CUACGGGAGGCACCAGUGAGGAAUAUUGCACAAUGGGGGGAACCCUGAUGCAGCAACGCCGCGUGGAGGAUGACGCAUUUCGGUGUGUAAACUCCUUUUAUAUGUCAAGAAAAUGACGGUAGCAUAUGAAUAAGCACCGGCUAACUCCGUGCCAGCAGCCGCGGUAAUACGGAGGGUGCAAGCGUUACUCGGAAUCACUGGGCGUAAAGGACGCGUAGGCGGGUUGGAAAGUCAGGUGUGAAAUCCUACAGCUUAACUGUAGAACUGCACUUGAAACUUCUAAUCUAGAGUAUGGGAGGGGGAGAUGGAAUAAGUGGUGUAGGGGUAAAAUCCGUAGAUAUCACUAGGAAUACCUAAAGCGAAGGCGAUCUCCUGGAACAUUGCUGACGCUAAGGCGUGAAAGCGUGGGGAGCAAACAGGAUUAGAUACCCCGGUAGUC
rnacentral:rRNA from 1 species